GACGAACGCUGGCGGCGUGCCUAAUACAUGCAAGUCGAGCGGACUUAAAAGGAGCUUGCUCCUUUUAAGUUAGCGGCGGACGGGUGAGUAACACGUGGGCAACCCGCCCUAUAGUUUGGGAUAACUCCGGGAAACCGGGGCUAAUACCGAAUAAUACAUUUUAACUCCUGUUAGAAUGUGGAAAGAUGGUUUACGCUAUCGCUAUAGGAUGGGCCCGCGGCGCAUUAGCUAGUAGGUGAGGUAACGGCUCACCUAGGCGACGAUGCGUAGCCGACCUGAGAGGGUGAUCGGCCACACUGGGACUGAGACACGGCCCAGACUCCUACGGGAGGCAGCAGUAGGGAAUCUUCCACAAUGGACGAAAGUCUGAUGGAGCAACGCCGCGUGAGUGAAGAAGGUUUUCGGAUCGUAAAACUCUGUUGUAAGGGAAGAACAAGUGCAGUAGUAACUGGCUGCACCUUGACGGUACCUUAUUAGAAAGCCACGGCUAACUACGUGCCAGCCGCCGCCGUAA
rnacentral:rRNA from 1 species